rnacentral:rRNA from 1 species
UUGCCUACGGGAGGCAGCAGUGAGGAAUAUUGGUCAAUGGGCGGGAGCCUGAACCAGCCAAGUCGCGUGAGGGAAGACGGUCCUAUGGAUUGUAAACCUCUUUAGGCGGGGAGCAAUGCCGGGCACGCGUGCCCGGAGGGAGAGUACCCGCAGAAUAAGCAUCGGCUAACUCCGUGCCAGCAGCCGCGGUAAUACGGAGGAUGCGAGCGUUAUCCGGAUUUAUUGGGUUUAAAGGGUGCGCAGGCGGCACGGCAAGCCGGCGGUCAAAUCGCGGGGC